UCUUUGGUCUGGACUCAGACCUGCUCCUUGAACUUGAGGAAAUAUUUGGCACUUCUGCUUCUGAUCCCCGGCAUUUCCAGUCACAGCUUACUCUCCGAAUCUGGCUUUCCCUUUCCUGGGUACUCCGGGAAACCAUUCGCUUGGUGACUCUCUGUUCCUGGGACACCCUGGCCGAUGUGAUAUCACGUCUGCCGGGCCUGCCAGCCUCUAUGCGGGAGGAAUUAGGGCAAGUCCCACCGUUAUCUCUGGAGGUGAUGCUGAGGCUGUUGGUCCGUGGCCCACACCUGGAGCAGCACUGACCUAGCUCCAUGGAGCUACUGUGGAAGGUUCAUCUCCUUUAUCGGUGACUCCCGUAACUGUGGUGGAGGAAAUGCCAGACCCCUCUCCUGGCUGUUGCCAUAGCGAUUCCUGAGAAAGAAGAGCCAAGCAUGAAGUAUUCAGGUGAAAUUUUUAUCCAACUCAUGUUUAAAUUCAAUGUGGGUUUUACUUAUUAAAAUAUUUGAAAUCCAGCGAUCAGGGAGGCCGAAGCACUACUUUCCCGAUGACCUUUGCUACUUCCUCUCCGACUGCUGCUUUCUGCACGGAGCUAUCUUCGGCCAGAGCCAGCACCAGCCGGCGUUCUCCUGGGCUCAGGUCCUGUCGUAAAUUCUGGAUAUUUUGAGAUGAGAGACGCUGUCACUAAGAGGCAACAUGGCAGACUCCACAGACUGGUAAAGAAGGGAAUGAAUCAACCAGUGUUGUGACCAUGGUGACGACAGAGGUGUGCUCAGGCGACGGUGUUUAGUUUAAGGGAGCAGCUCACAGGCAGGCAGGUACUGCUUGUACAAUGCUGACAACCAGAGAAUGCAUGUUGCAUAAAUAGGGACACACUGCCUGAAAACAAAUGUAUCCUUUUGAAGAUGAAUGAAGGAAACAGCCAUGCCCGAGAAAUAGAAUAUUCUACUGGUGGCCAUGAGUUGCAAAGCACUCGAACACACAAUCAAGGACCCCUGUGACUUCUUCAAAUCUGGGUCCAUCGGGGAAAAAAGAAACACACUUUUGGCUAAAACUAUUGUUUCCAUAGUCAUCCACAUGCCUGAACUUAAAUAUUCACGCGAACCCCAAAUGCACAUGAAGAUUUCUAGAGCAUAUGAACAGUUUCACGGCAAGUCCCACUCAGUGCUGGCUAGGAUGCUGGAUUGCUCUGCUGUCCUGUUCUCUGAGUCAUGGAGCCCAGUGGAUCCAUCUGCACUAGGGCCUUCUAACUACACAGAUGGCGGUUCUGUUUCUGUGUGUGGUGAUAAGCACUCAGUUGUUAAUGAGGAAUAAAAAUAGAUUCAAUAAAUUCAGUAAAGACUGUAAUUAAGCAAUUGAAAGUCUUUAAAACUAACCAGGAACUGGUUCUACUUUUCAAUUUGUUCCCUCAAACUAAAUUUGACUUGUCAGGCUGACUCAACUCCAGGUACCUAGAUAACUGAGGGGCGGCCGUAAAACCACUCCAGAGCCUAGAGCUCAGACUCCACACUCCUGGAGGCAAGCUAAAUGAGGAACUAGAGACUGCCCUCUUGUUUCUCAACAACUUUCAAUUUGUCUUCCAUUCAGGAAUGCUAAUUUAGAAACACCUUGUUCUGCUCUUUCUUUAUAUUAUUGAGAAUCUGUUAUUUUUAAAUGAUUUAAGACAUUAAUUACAAGAAAUUUUCCAUUUUUUUUAAAGCAGGUACAUGGUUGUUCAUAUUUAACUUAAUUGCUUAAGAAUAUUUGGUUGAGGUAAAAAUAGAAGUUUAAUGUUCAUACUUCUUUGUUCAGCAGAACUGUACUCCUCUUCUGGUUGUUCCCAGGGACUUGAUCCUCACAGGUAAAAUAACUUGAACCUGACCUGCAGCCUCAGGUCUGCCCCAGACCCUUUGGUGUAGAACUAUUUUUAGUAUCCCCACUUUGCAGGUAAGAAACUCACUGGGGGUGGCCCAGCUCAUGUGGAAUAAGGCUAGGAUUUGAACUUGAGCACCCUGUCCUUGGAGCCCGUGCUCUUAACCAUAUGCUCUGGGCCUCUGUACCGCCUCCCAUUUGAACAGACCCAUUCCUUAGGUCUCCUUGAUCCAAGCAGGAUGGAAAACAAGAAGCAUACAUGAGAGUGCCCCCUCACCCCCGAAAUGCCACACUGUCUGUUGAAUUCUAGAAUGGGGGCUCCCAAAGUGUGGUCAACUAUAGCAGCAUCUGUAACUGUGCUUUCUCCCUCCAUGACUCUUUGAAGUAAUGGGCAUUCACUAGGACGCAUAAAUGCCACUGUAUUUGUAAAGUGUUAGUCUCACUAGAGCGUGGUCAUAUUUCUUAUAUAAAAUCAACAUGGCUAAUGACAAGCAAAUUUUGAGAAACCAACUUCUUUUUUUUGAUGCUAAGGGGGAAGGCAGUACAAACAAAGACAGUUUGUUUGCCUGGAAUAGCACUCUUAAUGAUGAAGACAGGAAAGUGUUUGGACAAUAGUACAAUCAGGUGAAUGAAUAACUACUUUAAAGUGAUACCUGCAAGGGAUUGUGGAUAGCUCCGACUCACGUGCUAUGAUAUAAAACAGACAUUAAUUCUGCGUCCAGAGUAAAUUCUGCAUUGCUUCCUCCACUUUUGCAGGACCUCUGGAUUCUUAUCAUGUUUUUCUUCUCAGGGUCCCCUCCUCCCUGCAACUGAGAAAAGGUCCUCCAGUAAACUAAUGAACCCCUAUGAUGGACCCUUGCAGUCUCCACCGCUGGUUUAAACCACGUUGGUUUCAUGGAGAUGUCAAAGUGCAGCCUGGGCCCCACCCACACUCUUGUCUGCAUCAGCCUCCCGCUCCGACAAUCACGGCCCUCUGACAUGCACCCAGUGUCCCACAAGGUCUCCUAAUACUCUGCACACCUUUUACAGUAAUUCACAUUUCAUGUCUUUGACGGCAAAAUUGGGGUUUCUAUAUUAUCUCCACUGCUUCAGCUUAAGAGUUUGCAGAACUUUCUCUGUAAGACCCAUAUUGUAAGUGCAGAGCUUCAAAAGCGUUUGUGGACAAUGCUGAAUAAAGUCUCCUGCCACAAAAUUAACUGUUUUAAAGCCCACCUCAUAUUCAAUACUCUUCUCAUUCCUAGGGAAGGAAGCAAUAUCUCAUCUAGGUAAGUAUGACUUGUGGGGGAAAUGUUUCUUAGAAAUUGUGGCAGAUGUUGCUAUUUCCUUCCAAAUAUUAAUUUCUCCCUGAGCAAUGUACACAGCUCUGGGCUAUAAUUUUCAGUUCCUCUUAAAGCUCUGAGAUGCAAGUGGAAUUUGCUCUUCAGGAUUUCCAGGAAACCUUUAAGAAAUUGGGAAGGGAGGGCACCUGGAUGGCUCAGUGGUUUAAGCCUCUGCCUUCAGCUCAGGUCAUGAUCUCAGGGUCCUGGGAUGGAGGUGUGCAUUGGGCUCUCUGCUCAGCAGGCAACCUGCUUCCUCCUCUCUCUGCCUGCCUCUCUGUCUACUUGUGAUCCCUCUUUCUCUGUCAAAUAAAUAAAUAAAAUCUUAAAAAAAUUAAAAAAGAUUAAAAAAAAAAGAUGCUACACCUUAUUUUAUUGAUAGAGAAAGCCUGAGUUUCCAAUGUUCAUACACAAACCAGCUCCAGAAUUCCUAUGUCUUUUAUGUGAAAAAGAAAUACUUUUUUAUUUUGUUUCAGACAUUAUUUUUUAUUUGUUUGUUUUGGUUUAAUGUUAUUUGUAGACAAAUGCAAUUCUAACCAGUAGAUAAGUUAAUUUAAUGAGAGUAUCCAAUUAAAUUUUAAGUGGCAUAAUAGAGGCGAGACAUACGAAUUCAGGAAUGCCUUAUGAUCUUUAUAAAAACAAGGAAAGCUUCUCGUCUUUCUUAGGAUGGGUUGUUAACCACUGGCAAAACAGGAAAUGCCACUCAAAACUACCAUGAGUAAUUAAUUGGAAGAGAUGAGAAGCCGCUUUGUACUGUAUCAAUGUUGCUAGACUGCACUACAUUUCUUAGAAUUCCCUUUUCUGUAUUUUCUAGAUGGGGUGGGCCAUAAGGGACAGCCUUGUCGGCAACACAGAGGGCCACUUUGUAACUUACACGUCUGAAUCAUUCACGUGAGGUAGCUGUCAGGCCUGCACGCGCUCCGCCUUCCUCUGGAUCCUAAUUCAGUAUCUCUGAAUCCUGGGCCACUUGUGUGUAUUUAACUCCAUGAAGAAAGGCCCUGUUUUCUGCAGAUACCUACACCAUCAAGGUCAGAUGCAAUAGGAAAUGACACAGGUUUCGGUCUUUCCUUGUGGAUUCUAGAUCAUAUUCAUGGAUUCCAACUUUUUCUUGCGUUCCCCUACUUUAUCCUUAUCUUCCCUCCCUGGGAAUGACUGCCUAAUGACUGGACUUGAAGCUCUAACAUAAGAUGCAAAGAUAAAAACCCUGCAGAGACCACUUAACCAGCUGCCACUAUUGCAGAAGCUCUAAUACAUAGACCUUGAGGUGCAUGGGUGGCUUAGUUGGGUAAGCAUCCAAACCUUGAUUUUGGCUCAGGUCAUGAUCUCAGGGUUGUGAGAUCAAGCCCCGAAUCAGGCUCUACACUGGGCAUGGAGCCUACUUAAGAUUCUCUCUCUCCCUUUCCUCUGCACCGCCCUAUUCUCUCUCUCUUUCAAUAAGUAAGUAAGCGAAUAAAUAAAUAAAUAAAUAAAUGCAGAAUGGGCCAAUUUGUACUGAAAAAUCCAAAAUAGAAUAUAAACAGACAGAAGUAGAAAAGGAGUCUUGUAUGUCAUUCUUGAUUUGUUAAUUAAUUCAACAAAUAUUUAUUGGGUGAUACAUAAAUGUCAGACACUGUGCAAUGUUCUAAGUUAAAAUGAUGGCUUCUUGUCAACCUGGUACCAGUUCUAGGUACUGGUGAUAUAGCAAUGAACAAAGCAAAUAUCCCUGUCAUCAUAGAGCUUACAUUCUGGUUAGUUGAGGCGACCAAUAGACAUAUAAAUAAAGCAAAUAUGUUUAUAUCAGAUCAUAAUGAGUAAAAUAGAGAAGAGACACAUAGAGACAGUAACUCCCUUCAUUAAUGGCAAGGAUUUAGAGAAAAUGUAGGCCAAGUGCCUGACCCAGAAUAGUCCUUCUGUAAACUGGGGUUUUUGUUUUUUGUUUUGUUUUUAUUUUGUUUUUUAUAUUUUAUUUAUUUAUUUGACAUAUGGAGAUCACAAGUAGGCAGAGAAGCAGGCAGAGAGAGAGGAGGAAGCAGGCUCUCUGCUGAGCAGAGAGCCCGAUCCCAGGACUCUGGGACCAUGACCUGAGCCAAAGGCAGGGGCUUUAACCUAAUGAGCCACCCAGGCGCCUCUGUAAACUGGGGUUUUUAUUGUUUUCUUUAGGACUGUGACAGAGGGACUAAAAAAGGGAGAGAGAAGAUGUGACGAAAACCCAUGAAAAGGAAUCAGAACUCAGUAACUGAUUAUGCUUGUUACUUAAGAGAGGGUGCAUUAAUGGGAUAUGAAUUCUAAUCUCCAGAAUGCAAAGAACUUAAAGAAAAUAAAGAAAUGGUUCUCCAUAUUAGUAAGAGAGUAAAAGAAAAGCUACAUUAAUUAGGAGAAUCAAACAAGAUAAAGCAGUCUGGAAUGUAGCAGAGAAAUGUGGAAAUGAACGUGAGAAAGAACAUGAACCGUCCAUAAGACAAAGCCCAGGGUACACUGCUGAACUUGAAUCUCUGAAGCACACCAAUAGGAAAUUUAAACAGGUGAAAAUGGACAGCCUGAGUCACGUUUGUUUGGAGGACUCAACUCUAGGCCUGUAUAGCUCCAUGGUCUUCUGAUUCUGGGAUGAUGCUUCUGCAGGUACAGGAACUGGACUAUGAAGAUCAGGAUAACCUGGGUCGUGGUGGGACUCAGCUGAAUCAUGGGUCACUGUGGCUAAUGGCCAUGUACGCUUCCCCGCAGCCACUGCUCACUCCUUAAAUGCCAUCCCCAUCUGCCCUUAAUGAUUAAAUACACAAGGUAGAAGAAAAUGAAAAGAUCUCAUUACUUUCUUUAAGGCAUUUUUGUUUCUCCAAUGAAGAACACUGAGUAGCAGGUACCAUGUUGUUGAGAGUGUUAAAGGAGAAGCUUGGCAACUAAAAAAGCCAUGUAAGAUAUGAUGGGCUUCGUUUCAGCACGCGUCGUAUAAAUAGUAGCACUUUUAAUGAUUGUACCCAGCAGUACAUUACUAAUCAUCUCCCCUGUGGGUGAAAGGUGACUCACACUGCAGAAUUUGGGAGAGACUAAGGAGAGGAUGGGAGAGCAGGGACAGGGGGACAGGACUUGAAGGUGUGUGUGUGGAGGGUGUUGUGUUAAAUGGUCACCAUGGUCUCACCUGACCACAGUGUAGCUGGUGGAGAUAUCCUCAAAUAUACCCACAUUUGGGCAUCUGGGUGGCUCAGUUGCUUAAGCGACUGCCUUCAGCUCAGAUCAUAAUCCUGGAAUGCCAGGAUCAAGUCCCACAUCAGACUCCCCACUCAGUGGGGAGUCUCCUUCUCCCUCUGACCUUCCCUGCUCUCAUGCUUGCUUUCUCAUUUUCUCUCUCUCAUAUAAACAAAUAAAAUCUUAAAAAUAUGUAUAUACCCACAUAUUUACUGAAUUACAUGGAAAACAAUGCUUCAGUUUUCUAAUGGAGUAAAUAGUGACGAUUUGGCUACAUUUCUUUGAAGACGACAAUCUUUUGGUUUGGAGCACCGGAGAAGCACAUUAUUAACACAAAUAUUCAAAAUAGUGGGCACUGAGAUAGAGACAGAAGCUAUUUUUGUUGACCCUGGUAUGUGCCUGAAAUGUUAAAAAGUCCUGAUGUCCUAUUUGUGAAGAGAAGUUAUUAAAGACUAAGCAUAUCCGAAAUCUGGAAAUGAUUUGGGAUUAAGGUUUUCAACAGCAGAUCAUAGAUGAAGCUUAGAAGGAAAUGAAUGCAUAGAAAGGUCAGGCCCCUUUCCUAAAUUAAAGGCAGAGAAUAAACACAAUGUUCUCUAGGAUAGCCUUGCUUGACCCAUGACCCAGGAUCUCUUCCCUCAAAGCAUUUGUAAUGCUCCUUGAGAAGAUAAACAUGGUUGCCCUCAGUGCAGAGUCUGCUUAAGAUUCUCCUUCUCCCUCUGACCCUCCCCCCACCCCCACUCUCCCACACUUUAUCUAUCUCUCGUAAAUAAAUAAAUAAAUAAAUAAGUUUUUAAAACAACAACAACAAGAAUCCAAGGUGGUAGGUACUGUUAUUAUUUGCGUUCUAUAAAUGCACAGAUUUGGGCACCACGAGACCACUCAUCUGGCUCAAGGUCACAAAGCUUGUAAAGGGAUGAGCCGAAGUCUAUUUUCUGAAUCUGAGUGUACAUAAGCAUAUUGUGUAGUUAUGAAGAAAUGCGUUAUCCCAGAAAAAUAGUAUCUGUAGAACUAUAUGUGAAAAUGCUCACUGAUGAAAGAAGAACUUAAGAUGCUCUUUUCUUAUGAAUUCUUUUUGACCUAAGAAGGCAUUUGAACUACAAAAGUUAAAGGGAGGGUUUGGAAACUCCCACAGCAGAAAAUAUUGGAAUACUAGAAGAGAUGUGAAUUUUUAUUGUUGAUUAGACAUAAAAUGGAGUUGUUUGUGGAUAUGUUUAGACAUGAAAUGUCUACACAAAAGAACUAAAACUUCAUAUAUAAUACCUCACUUUAACUUCUAAAUUUUAGUAACCACCACGGACAGACAGGCUACCUCAUAUCAUUUAGCAACUUCUGUACUAAAUUUUAAGAUCAGAUGAGAAAACAUGUGCAACUCUUCAUUAAGACUCUGUGUGCAUGACCAUUAUGAGGAUAGCCUUGACAGCAGUCCUUAGGUAACAAAGAACAAUAUUACAAUUUCGUUUUAUUAAUGAGAACCUUGAAUGUUGGGACUGAUUUGCCAAAGUCACAGAGAGAGUGGAAGGCAAAAUCCUUACUUUCGGGGCACCUGGGUGGCUCAGUGUGUUAAGCCUCUGCCUUCGGCUCAGGUCAUGGUCCCAGGGUCCUGGAAUGGAGCCCCACAUCGGGCUCUCUGCUCAGCGGGGAGCCUGCUUCCUCCUGUCUCUCUGUCUGCCUCUCUGCCUACUUGUGAUCUCUGUUUGUCAAAUAAAUAAAUAAAAUCUUAAAAAAAAAAAAAAAACCACCCCGUAUUUUCUUGAAACCAGCAAUUCUGAGUCCCAAGUACAGUGCUAUUUUCACUAUGCUUAUUUAAUAAUUUUGGAUAAUUUUUUAAUAAGUUUCUAUUUUUAUUUUAGAAAGAGAGAGAGAGAGCGCAUAAGUGUAUGGAGGAGGGGCUGAAGGAGAGGGAGAAAAUCCUCAAGCAGACUCCCUACUGAGCAUGAAGCUUGACAUGGGCUCGAUCCCAGGACCCUGAGAUCAUUACCUGUGCUGAAAUUAAGAGUCAGACACUUAACUGACUCAGCCACCUGGAUGCCUCGUGGUUUGGGAUAUUUUAAAGACAACUGCAAUAUAUUUGUCCAAUAUGAGUAAAGUGUCCUGGUUUGUCCAGGAUCAAAGGAGUUCUCUGGACAUAGGACUUUCAGUGCUUACAUCUAGAAAGUCCCCAGACAACUGGCACUAGUGGGUUUCCAUCUGUAAAUCUAAUUGUUUGUAGGAUUUAAAAGAAAGCAAAACAACAGUUGUUGGUUUUAAUGGCCAUGUGUUUACAUUGGGGGGAAAAACACGUGAAAAGAUUGCAUGCCAUUGGGUGGGUUGUCACCAAGACUGAAUUAAAAAAUAAAUGAAAAUAUUUAUUACUCACAUUAAAAGCUGAAGAAAAUAAACAUGGCAAAGUGUGAACGCUCCUCUUUCAACUCAGUACAAACAUGUAAUAUAAAGUGCAGGAGCACAGAAAAGCUUCGAGUGGAGGGAAGUUAGUGAUCAGUGAUGUUUGAAAUAUUGUUUAUGGACAGAUGGGAUAUUUUUCUCUGAGUAAUUUAUGAGAAUCUGAUGAAGGUUGGAGCAAAGAUCCUGUUUUUCACAAUUAAACUGAACUUGCCAAUGGUAGAGUUGAGUUGACUCUUGAAGUAGAGUAGAGUUGACUCUUGAACAACUUGGGAGCUAAGGGCACCAACCUCUGUGCACUUGCCCUGGAAAUAUCCAUAACUUUUGACUCCCCUCAAACUUAACUAGUAACAGUGUACUGUUGACCAGAAGCCUUGCUAAUAACAUAAACAGGCAGUUAAUACAUAUUUUGUAUGUCAUAUGUAUUAUACACUGUAUUCUUACCAUAAAGUAAGCUGGAGAAAAGAAAAUGUUAAUAAGAAAGCCAUAAGGAAAAUCCAUAUAUAGAACUACAAUAAAAAAAAAAAUCUGUGUGUAA